rnacentral:lncRNA from 1 species
AUGGGGAUCCACUUUUCCUGCAUUCGAGGUGACUUGAAGAAGCCUUCCAAAAAGCGUGUGAAAAGGGAGCCCUACUCUACUACCAUGUUACAGGUGACUUCAUUGAGCCCAAUCAAUGAAAUUUUGAGAAGAUACAGCCUGUACACCAACCAGCAUUGGAGGCAUCAUGGCUUCUGGAGAAAGAAGAUACAGCCACAAGAAGCCUCUGAGGAGCCUCCAGCUCACAAGGACAGAGGAGGUGGAGAGAGGCCAGUCAACGCGAGGGUGGUGCGGGUGGCCCCUCUGAGGCCUGGUUUUGCUCUUUGUGGGUACGCUGUACAAGACAUCUCUAAAGAAGACACUGUAUAUGACAUCUGUAAUGAGGAUGCUGUAGACAUCUCUGAUGAGGACACUGUAGAUAUCUCUAAUGAGGCUUCUGUACAUGACAUCUCUAAUGAGGCUGCUGUAUGUGACAUCUCUAACGAUGCCGUAAACAUCUCUAAUGAGGCUGCUGUACGUGACAUCUCUAAUGACGCUGUAGACAUCUGUAAUGAGGCUGCUGUACAUGACAUCUCUAAUGAGGACACUAUAGAAGACAUUUCUUAUGAGGACACUGUAUACGACAUCACUAAUGAGGAUGCUGUACGAUACCUCUGUAAAAAAGAUGCUACCAAGGAGCCAUUGACACUGGAGAAUGAUUUGAUUGUGGAGAGCAUGUCUGAUGACGAGGAUUUUGCAGGU